UUGUUGCUUUUGCUCCAAGGUGGUACCAAACGAGGAAAAACAAGACUGAAGUGCGGGAGGACUCGGUCCUCCACUUAGGUUCUUUUGCUUAUAGCUUAUCGGGAGGAGUUUGUGCCUCCCAUGGUUUGUAUAAUAUUACUACUCUGCACUCACUUUUAGCUCUGGUCUGUAAUAAAAUAACUCAACCUUGCUUUUGAAAUAAAUGUAAGUUAUGUAAUUCGCUUCCGCAUUUCUUUAUCUCCGAUGUUCUGUAAUGUCUGCAAGACGGGUGAGACGUUCCUGGUAAGGUAAGGAAAGAUACCGAGCUUGUCAAGUGACUUAGGAACAUCUACAGGGUGUCUGAUGUCUGUUAGACAAGGACAACUGUAGGUGGGCCUAAUUACUUGGGAGGUUCUGUCACAGCUGGUAUCAGAGCGUAGCCCUUCUUUGCAGAUAUUAUGAGGCAUCUUCAAAAGGAUUUUCAAAAGUCUUACCUAAAAACUCUUUUCUCUUCUUACCUAAGUAUUCUGAAGAGUCUAUCUUAAAGACCAGAUAGGAAGAGUGCAACAUAUAGAAGGUUGAAUCGACUAAGGUUGAUUCUGUAAUUAUGCAUGCAUCAUGCUAAGCACUAUACUAAUAACAUUUUCCCCCUUAGAAAAGAUGCCGCCACGCACCAGGCUAACGGCACGCAAGUCUACGGGACCAAUUGGGGUGCCUCGGCAUCAAUUGGCUCCCCGACAUGAAAGCAACAGCAGUGGAAGUAAUGACCCCAUCGGAGAUCUUGAAGCCCGUGUGAGUCGACUUCAAACAGCGCUGCAACACAGGACCGAUGCUUGGGUCGCCGAUGGAGAUAGAAUCAAUGAACUGAGAAGGGACAUCCGACAUCUGCAGGAUCAGCUCGCUGAUCGAGACUUAGCACUUGACUGGGCUGUACAGUCUCGUUUGCUAAUGUGUGCUAAGGAAGCAAGGGCUCAGGCCCAAAUUAAAGAACUUAGCUCAACAGUUGAUAACCUGCAGGUUUACUGCAAUACGUUGCAUGAGGAAGUCCAUAUACUAUACUCACAAUUACACCCAAGUGAGCCUGCACAACCUGCUGAGGCGGAAGCCGGACCAUCUCACGUUGCGGGACGUGCGCUGGGUGGGGAGUUAGACCUUUUUGAGCCCCCUCCUUCCUUGAGGUUGGUUGAUGUCUGGACUCCCACACCUGACGAUGAGGACGCCAAGAGUAAGGGAAAGCAGGAAUAAUGGUGUAAUAGAAGUAAAAGUAGAGUAGUGUAUUGUAGGGAGUGCUGUUGUAUAAUAGGUUGAACUUUUGUAUAAUGGGUAAUGUAUCCUGUUAUGUAAUAUCGAGUCUGUAUCAUUACUUUUUAUAGUAAUGUAAAAUGGAAGGUUUUCUCUGGCACAUUAUGUUUACUCCAAAUGUUUUUGCCAUAGAUGCCGACCAGGACUCGAGGACAGGACGCAGCCGGAACUUCUGGGGGCAGGGAUGUUACCCCAAACCCACCUCCGGUUCCUCCCACGUUAGCCGAGGCGAUUGCCGCCUUGGUGAAUGCCACCGCAGACAAUACCCGCUUCCUUAGGGAAAUGGCGGGUCAGCAGCAAUUCCAGCAGCAGGCGGGAAGAGGUUUUCCGCAAGGCCCCCGUGAGACCACCUAUCUGGACUUCUCUGAAACCCGUCCACCCCUAUUCGUCAAGGCAGAAGAUCCCCUAGAAGCUGAUGAGUGGAUUCGGGUUAUUGAACAAAAGUUUGGUCUUCUCCGUUGCUCAGAGAUGCAGAAGCCGUUGUUUGCAGCACAACAACUCCGUGGUCCUGCCAGUACCUGGUGGGGAAAUUUCGUGGCUAUUCAACCUGUCAACCAUCAAGUCACCUGGGAUGAGUUUAAAGCAGCCUUCCGUGAACACUACAUACCCGAAGGAGUGCUGCAUAUGAAACAAGAGGAAUUUAUGAAGUUGCAACAAGGUGGAGAUACCGUCACUCAAUAUCUCAACAAAUUCAAUCACCUGUCGCAGUAUGCCAUCGACCAGGUGAAUACGGAUUUAAAGAAGAAGAACUGUUUUAUGCGGGGACUGAAUGAUCGGCUACAAAGGAAAAUGGCCACAUGCAUAGAUCUCACGUAUGGAAAGGCUGUCAGCACAGCCUUAUCUGUUGAAGCAAAAUACACAAAUUCUGGGAAGAAUAAGGGAUUUGGUGGUGAGAGGCCUAAUCAGGGCCAGGCGAAGAAGCAACGGUUUGUGGUCCGACCUUCAAACCAAAAUCGCACUUUUUCUUGUCCACCCUCGUUUCCCUUCAAACAGCCAAUCAUUAUCCGCCCCAACAAUACCCCCACUACCCCAAAACAGCCGGGUGCCCCAGGCACUCGAUUCCCUGCCUUGCCUAGUUCUUCAACUGGGUGUUUUAAUUGCGGCAAGUCGGGACAUUUUAUCAAAGACUACCCAUAUCGUAGGCAAAAUCAAUCUAAUGCUUCACAAGGAUCUGGGAAAUCAGCUCAGCCUAAAGGAAAUGCUAUGGGGAAGAAUACGAAGAAAACGGGGCGUGUAUAUUACACUCAAGUGGCUACUACACCGGAAGGAGAACCGGUGAUGAUGGGUACGUUUCCCGUGGCCAGUCACCCAGCAAUUAUUCUUUUUGAUUCUGGUGCUUCACAUACAUUCAUUAGCAAGAAGUUUGUGGAACAACAUCAUAUUGCAUACCAUGAAUCAAAGGAGGGAUUUAAAAUUCAUUCACCUGGGGGACACAUUUAUACUAGAGAAGUGGCCUAUGGAGUGCCAGUAACAAUGGCCGGACGGAACUUUCCUGCUAACAUGAUUGUUCUGAAGGGCCAGGAUAUAGAUGUAAUUUUGGGUAUGAAUUGGUUAACCCAACACAAGGCAAUUCUCAACACUGAACUCAGAACCGUCAGGUUGAGCUAUAACCAAGAAGAUAUUCUUUUGACUGUCCCCGCAACCAAUCCAGCCAAAACUUCUGGUAGAGUCUAUGAAGCCAUUGUACCGGAGAUCAAGAACAUUCCGGUAGUAUGUGAGUUUCCAGAUGUAUUUCCGGAAGAUUUGCCUGGACUGCCCCCUAAAAGAGAUGUAGAAUUCGUAAUUGAGCUAAAGCCCGGUACGGCUCCCAUCUCCCGAAGAUCGUACCGUAUGCCCCCUAAUGAGUUGGCGAAAUUAAAGAUUCAAUUACAAGAUCUAUUGAAUAAGGGAUUCAUCCGGCCAAGCUCGUCCCCAUGGGGUUGUCCCGCCAUUUUUGUUAAGAAGAAGGAUCAAACUUUGAGAAUGUGCGUGGAUUAUCGACCCCUAAAUGAGGUCACCAUCAAGAAUAAAUACCCUCUUCCAAGGAUCGACAUCUUAUUUGAUCAGCUAACUGGGGCGAGGGUAUUUUCUAAAAUUGAUCUCAGGUCGGGCUAUCAUCAAAUCCGUAUUCGACCCGAGGAUAUACCGAAGACCGCGUUUACUACGCGGUAUGGAUUGUUUGAAUACUUGGUAAUGUCUUUCGGGCUCACAAAUGCUCCUGCCCAUUUCACUUAUUUGAUGAACUCGGUGUUCAUGCCCGAAUUGGACAAGUUCGUGGUAGUCUUCAUCGACGAUAUCUUGAUAUAUUCUAAGAAUGAAGAGGACCAUGCUCAGCAUCUACGGAUUGUAUUGACGCGCCUGAGGGAACACCAGCUAUAUGCCAAGUUCAGCAAGUGCGCGUUCUGGCUGGAAGAAAUUCAAUUUUUGGGGCACGUGUUGUCGGCUAAAGGAAUUGCGGUAGAUCCUAGCAAGGUCAAAGAUAUUCUAGAGUGGAAACCCCCAACAACUGUUCACCAAGUCCGGAGUUUUCUUGGACUAGCUGGGUAUUAUCGCAGAUUCAUACCAGAUUUUUCUAAGCUUGUGAAGCCAAUCACAAGUUUACUGAAGAAUGACAUUAAGUUCAAUUGGUCUUCUAAGUGUAAUGAAGCCUUUGAGCAACUGAAGGCAUUAUUGACCACUGCUCCGGUAUUGGCUCAACCGGACAUCACUAAGCCUUUUGACGUAUAUUGUGAUGCAUCUGGCAGUGGGCUCGGCUGUGUACUGAUGCAAGAGGGCCGAGUAAUUGCGUAUGCUUCAAGGCAGUUGCGCCGACAUGAGGAGCAUUAUCCAACUCAUGAUCUGGAGCUAGCUGUUGUGGUUCAUGCCCUAAAGAUUUGGCAUCACUAUCUGCUGGGAAAUAUCUGUCACAUAUAUACAGAUCAUAAAAGUUUGAAGUACAUCUUCACCCAGUCAGAGUUAAAUAUGAGGCAAAGACGAUGGCUUGAGCUCAUUAAAGACUAUGAACUGGAGAUCCAUUAUCACCCAGGCAAAGCCAAUGUGGUAGCAGAUGCGCUGAGUCGUAAGACCUCCUGCCACUGUCUUAUGGCGAAGACCUCCGAGAACACUUUGUGCCAAGAAAUGGAGAAGCUAAACCUGGGGAUCAUCCAACAAGGGACUCUAAAUCAACUAAAGCUUGAGUCAAUCAUUUUGCAAAGGAUAAUUGAUGCUCAAAAGGAUAAUCUAGGUAUGAAGCACAUUCGAGAGAAGAUAAAGGCUGGAGUAGCCAAGUGUUUCAAGGAGGACGAUCAAGGUGUGAUAUGGUUUAAAAACCGCAUAGUAGUGCCAAAGAACGAAGAGCUCCGCCAGCAAAUUCUUGAUGAGGCACAUCUUAGUCGCUAUUCAAUUCAUCCCGGAAGCACUAAGAUGUAUCAAGACUUAAAGCAACAUUAUUGGUGGACGAAGAUGAAAAUUGAAAUUGCACGCUAUGUGGCUAAGUGCGACACUUGCAGACGUGUCAAGGCCAUACACAUGAAAACUGCUGGUCCAUUACAAUCUUUGCCAAUCCCAACAUGGAAAUGGGAAGACAUCAGUAUGGACUUUAUUGUGGGACUACCCAGGACAACCAAAGGGUAUGAUUCUAUUUGGGUUAUCGUUGAUCGACUCACAAAGGUUGCCCACUUCUUACCUGUCAGGGUCACAUAUACAGUAGCCACUUAUGCAGCAUUAUACAUUGCCCGUAUUCUCAGUCUGCAUGGUAUUCCGAAGACCAUUGUGUCGGAUCGUGGACCUCAAUUUGUAGCCAAGUUCUGGGAAGCACUUCACAACUCCUUGGGUACUAAAUUACUCCACAGUUCGGCUUAUCAUCCUCAAACCAGUGGGCAGACUGAGAGAGUGAACCAAAUACUUGAAGAUAUGCUGCGGGCAUGUGUCCUGGACUUCUCACCAAAAUGGGAUGAAUGUUUGCCCCUAGCGGAGUUUUCAUACAAUAACAGUUAUCAAGAAAGUAUCAAAAUGGCACCUUUUGAAGCUUUAUAUGGGCGACGAUGUCGAACUCCGCUAAAUUGGUCUGAACCUGGAGAAAGAUAUUUCUUUAGGCCUGAUAUGGUGAAAGAGGUCGAAGAAAAGGUUCAGAGAAUUAUUCAUAAUAUGAAGAAAGCUCAGACUCGACAAAAGAGUUAUGCAGACCGACGACGACAACCCUUAUGCUUUCUGGUAGGCGAUUAUGUCUACUUAAAAGUUUCACCAAUGAAGGGUGUAUCGCGUUUCGGGGUUAAAGGGAAACUUGCACCCAGGUACAUUGGUCCAUUCCGGGUGCUUGGGCAAUGUGGACCAGUGGCAUACCGACUUCAACUCCCCGAAACAUUGUCUGCUGUGCAUAAUGUGUUCCACGUGUCACAAUUGAAGAAGUGUCUUCGGAUUCCUGAUCGAACCGUUGAAGUGACUGAUGUUGUCCUGGAACCAGAUUUAACAUACUCGGAACAUCCUAUUCGAGUUCUGGAUCAAAAGGACAGGAUCACCCGAAGAAGGACUCUCAAGUUUUAUAAGAUACAGUGGAACCAGCAUUCUGAAGAUGAGGCUACAUGGGAAACCCAAGACUUCUUGAAUAAGAAUUUCCCAGGCUUUCUAGCCUCAUGUAAAUUGUAAAGCCUGUAUAGCUGUUGUAAUAAAGAAGUAACCCCCACAUCACCCCUGCCUUGUACCAAAAUUAAGGAAAUAAAAAUGUGAUGUGUUUCCUUUACCAUUACCUACCCUAGGAUUUUUAAUCUCGGGACGAGAUUCUUUUAUGGGGGGAAGGAUGUAACACCCCUGGUGUUACUAUAACUAAAACAUGAGCAUGACAUCAUAGCAUUGGCAUUGCAUAUGUUUGACACACCUAGAGUGCAUUCACUAGGCAAAAAUUUCAAACAAGUUGUAUUGUUUUAAUGUUUUGCAAAUAGGACCCUGGAUAGGAAGCUUUAACCCUAAACAGUGGUUAAAGGGGUAAAACUUAACCCAAGUUAAGAAAACCUAAAGACUUUAGGGUAAAAGUCAUAAAAUGACCCCAAGAAUAAACUUGAAUCACAUUUAUACCCCUAAGGUACCAAAAACCCUAAUUGGAACCCUGGAAAAAUCCUGAAACCAAACCCUAGGGGUCUAUGUGCAAAAAAUGUGCACAGGUGUGAAAACAACUAUGUUAAAGCAUGUUAAGUCAUAUGGUUCACAAAAUUAGGGAUUUGCAAGUGAAACCCUAAGUUUUGGGUUUAUUUGCAAAAAGUACCACUUGACCUCUAUAUAGCCUAAGUCUGAAAUCAGUGUUGUGAGCACAACUUUGAGCCCUUGUAACUUUCAAAUUAAUGAAAAUAUGCCCUAGGUCACCACAUAAAACUUAUAGACCAAACAAAGGAGAACAAUUUUUCUUAUGAGUGUAAGCAAGGUUGCUAUGAAGAAUUUGGAGAUAAUCCCACUUAAAGUCGGGCUGUCUGGCUGACUGAUAACUGAAACUUGGUCUGACAGUGGGGUGGGUCAAUCUUUGAACCCAGAUUUAAACAUGAUCCAGUGCAAGUUUGGGCAUGGUUCCCAUAACAAAAUUGUAGCUGGAACAUGGGGCUAUAACUUUGGUACAGAAGGUUGAUGAAUUUCUCAUGCAAAAUCUGGAGAAAAUCUGGCCCCAAAUCGCUCUGUCAGACUCAUUGAUUCUACUGAAACCGAGCACUGUUCACCGGCCUUCAGAAAUAUCGCGCCGUGGAUAUGGUCAGCCCCUCGCCGGCGAUAAGAACGCCACCGCAGCGGAUGGUCGUCGGCGGCUGCGGUAAAAAUCUGGUGCGACGUGGCCUCAAAGCAUUGAGGUGGUGCUACCCGGUUAAACGGCGGCCACCGAACUUGCGCCGUGGCUCUGCCGUGCGGGUGAAGCUCGCCAGCACGAUUACAGCCGGUGAAGCUCAUCCGAUUGCGGCCGGUUGGCUAUAAAUUGAGGGCGAGCGUUGCUUCUUCACCGUAUUCCACCUCUCAGCCACUAAGCGCCCGACUCAGGAUCACCGGAAAACCCAUGUAUCCUCCAAAUCCCUCGCUCCCUUGUUCUUAACUCCGCCGUGAAGAACAUCUCCGUGGCCAGCCUUCCUCGAGUGAGUACUUACCCAAUUGUUUCAUGUUCUUGCUUGCUAUUAGCCCCCUAUUGCUCCCAGUACCAACCAAUCGAACUUAAGCCAAAAGCUUUCACCGGAACGUGUGCUUGCUCUGAAGAACACCGCCGUGACCCCCUCACCGUCGACCCACUCCUCGGGCCUUGUUCUGCCCAAACCAAAAUGUGUCCGUAGACCCUGGUGAACCCGUGAAGCUUUGCCCAGCCCCAAUUUGGCCAUCCUCAUCUCUGUUUGAUCGGAACACGUUCAUCCCCUUGCCCAUCCGCUCGGACACCAUGAAUUGAUUGAUCCAAUGCCCCCUUGGUGAAAUUAAUGGAGGGGAAAUGCUCGGGCUUGGUUCAAUUUGAUGUCCGCCGCUCGGGAACCCUAGCCGUUGCCCUAAUCGGCCGGCGUAGGGGCUCGCCGGAGCUCGGCUAGGCGUGAGCGCAGUCGGGGACUAGGUGUGGUAAAAGAUUAGAACGCGAAGGGUCUUUCUGCAAAUGUCAGCGACUCGCCGAAAUAGUGCUCUGACCCCGCUUUAAGUUAUUCUGUUUGUCAGGGCCUUUUCUGCAAAACCCGCAGCGCGGGCGCGCGCUGGCGCGUUUCUGCGCUAGUUGGGCCGACUUGGGCUGAUUUCGGCCCGCGUCUAUUUAUUGUUUUUCUUUUUCUAUUUCUAGCGGGCUUCGGAAAUCUGUCAUAAAUUAUAGAAAAAAUCCUAAAAAUAUGAGACCAAUUUUCUUAGAACCCUAAUUUCCUGUAGUAUUUAAUAAAAAUGAACUCAUGAUUUUUAGAUUAAAUAAGGAAUUUUGGGUAUUUAAAGUAGCUUAAAACAUUAGUUUUGGAUUUUUAGAAAAUAAAUGGUAAUUCUAAAAAUGCCCAAACUUUUUAUGGGAACUUAAAACAUUAUUUAGAAGCCUUGGGUAGAGUUUGAAUUGUUUUGGACCUUGUUUGAUCACCAAACCCAAAACCACCCCCUGCCCUAUGAACUCCUUUACCGACUCCGGAAACCCUAAGUCCCCGGAACUCCGUGAAGGAAAGUUGUAUUCAAGACAUAAAUAAUAAGUUUAUACUAUCUUUGCAUCCUCAUGAGCAUCCCAUGGCAUCCAUUCUUAUACCUAUGUAUGGUUAUGAUUAGAACGUGAAGAGGAAAUCGAAGUAACUGAAGAGGAGACACCACCACCACCUUCGGAGUCUCAGGCUGGGAAUCAUUUCUACUUUGAUAUCUGUGGAUCUGAGCCUGAUUCACCUGUGAACGAAGGCAAGCCCCGGUGCAUGCAACCCCUUUCCUUGUGUUUUUAAAUACUUUUCGCACACUUAAGUCUAGUGAAAUGUGCAUUAAGUUCAUAGGAGUUACUUGAAACCCUUUGAUGCAUUGCUUUUCCUUGAUAUCCAUACCUUUAUAGAUACUCCUGUGAAGUAUCAAAAUUAUGAUUUACAAAAAUGCUUAGCCUUGCUUAGAUCUUGUGGAUAGAGGUUGUCCUCAAUUUAACCAUGGGGAGGAUGGCUUCUACCUGCAAGAAUAUUUUCAUUUGGAGCAAUAGUGGGAUCUUACUGCAAAGUUCCCUGUGAUGCUCUUUCAUCCUAAGGAACAGACACAAUCCUCAGGAUGGGAAUACUUAAAUUGAGACUUGGGUUAGGAACAGGUGAUGUUCUACCCAGGUUGGUUAAGGAUUAACGCGUAUGUAGGCGUGCUGACCGAGGACCCUUUAACUGGUCACAUGCCUCGUCAUGGGUAAGCCUUGCCUCGGGCAGACUAAGGCCGGAAUAAGAUAACACGAAAUGGGCGUGGAGCGAUGGCGAGAGUAGCGUGUACCCUCCGUGGCAAGAGGCUGGACGGUGGUGUAUCCGUGCUCUCGGUUUGCGUGAACCUGAUCCGGUCUUAAGAACCCCGGUGGCGGGUUGACAUAUGCAAGGGUUAAGUGCUACAUAUGUCGUGUGAUUGGAGAUCCUCAGCUGAGUAUAAUCGAUUCGGAUCGCCGUACCUUCGCGGUUAUGAAGACUUGGUCACUUUUCUACAACGUAAGUCAGGAUGUGAACACGAUGGAUAAAAAAAUGAUGUGUCUUGAUGUGAUGUGAAAUUAGACUAGAUGCAAAUAGAGUCUAUUAAUACUUAAUAUGGCGUUAAAAGAUUGAAAGUAAGGACUCACUUUAGUAAGCUACUUCUGCAAAAGUAUAAGUUGAUUUUGCUAAAGCCUCUCCUUGACUCCUAUUUAUCUAGCAUACCCUUGAGAGUCUUUUCCUUAGUCGGGUAAGACUUGCUGAGUAUUCCAUACUCAGGGUUUAUCCCUUUGUUGUUUUUAGGUGAGGAAGCGACAAACUUUUGUUGCUUUUGCUCCAAGGUGGUACCAAACGAGGAAAAACAAGACUGAAGUGCGGGAGGACUCGGUCCUCCACUUAGGUUCUUUUGCUUAUAGCUUAUCGGGAGGAGUUUGUGCCUCCCAUGGUUUGUAUAAUAUUACUACUCUGCACUCACUUUUAGCUCUGGUCUGUAAUAAAAUAACUCAACCUUGCUUUUGAAAUAAAUGUAAGUU
rnacentral:lncRNA from 1 species